CACCGCAAGCGAGGCGCGGGCCCGACGCCUACGGGAGGCAGCAGUGGGGAAUAUUGGACAAUGGGCGAAAGCCUGAUCCAGCCAUGCCGCGUGUGUGAAGAAGGUCUUCGGAUUGUAAAGCACUUUAAGUUGGGAGGAAGAGCAGUAAGCUUAAUACCUUGCUGUUUUGACGUUACCAACAGAAUAAGCACCGGCUAACU
rnacentral:rRNA from 1 species